CCAAGGGCACACGGCGGAUGUCUUGGCGUCAGGAGGCGAUGAAGGACGUGGUAACCUGCGAUAAGCUUGGGGAAGCUGGUAAACGAGCUGUGAUCCCAAGAUUUCCGAAUGGGGCAACCCGACCCAAUUGGGUCACCGUACGCUGAAUGCAUAGGCGUACGGAGCGAACCCGGGGAACUGAAACAUCUAAGUACCCGGAGGAAGAGAAAACAAUAGUGAUUCCCUAAGUAGUGGCGAGCGAACGGGGAGGAGCCCAAACCUGUCAGGUCUCGGCUUGGCAGGGGUUGUAGGGCGGCCAUACGUAGCAACAUUUUAAACGGAAGACUCCUGGAACGGAGCGCCAUAGCGGGUGAUAGCCCCGUACGUGUACUGGAUGUUGCGCAGGCCGUACCCUGAGUAGGGCGGGACCGGAGAAAUCCUGCCUGAAUCCGGCGGCACCAUCCGCCAAGGCUAAAUACGAGUGUGUGACCGAUAGUGAACCAGUACCGUGAGGGAAAGGUGAAAAGCACCCCGACGAGGGGAGUGAAAGAGACCUGAAACCGGAUGCCUACAAGCAGUUGGAGCCCAAGGUCCGUCCUGGGUGACAGCGUACCUCUUGCAUAAUGGGUCAGCGACUUAAUCUGGCAAGCAAGCUUAAGCCGAUAGGUGUAGGCGCAGCGAAAGCAAGUCUUAAUAGGGCGAAUGAGUUUGUCGGAUUAGACCCGAAACCAGGUGAUCUAGAUAUGAGCAGGUUGAAGGUGCAGUAACAUGCACUGGAGGACCGAACCCACGCCUGUUGAAAAAGGCGGGGAUGACUUGUGCCUAGGGGUGAAAGGCCAAUCAAACUCGGAAAUAGCUGGUUCUCCGCGAAAUCUAUUUAGGU
rnacentral:rRNA from 14 species